GUAACAAUUUAGUAAUACUUUUACUUUUAUUAAAAGGUUUAAAUAAAUAAUGGGCUUCAAUGAAUUUACAAAAUCUAUAUUUUCAUCACUAUUUUUUUUAUUAAAGAGCAACUUAGGGGUUCAAAUAUGUAAAGGGAAGGAAAAUAAAUUUUAACUGAAGGGAAGAGAUGAGGAGUCAUGUAUGUAUGGUUGGUUGAUAUUAAGCUAUAAAUAAAGCAACAUGGGAAGAUGUAGAGAGUAGAGACCAUCUAUGGACAUUUUCCUAUCUUCUGGCAUAAAGACAAAGCUGUUUGUGUCACCAAAGGCAUAUAUAUGACAAAAGGUGUAUGUUAUGUUAAAUAUAUGUAGUCUAGCAAGGCUGGUUAGAUAUCUUUUGCAUUUGAUGUGAUACAUAUUUGAAUGAUUAUAUGACUGUUAUUUGUGUAGUUACAAAUAAAGGCCUGUAGAGAAAUUAAAAAUGGUUUCCCUUGUUAAUGUUUGUGUAAUGUUCAAAGAAGAAGAAAAUCCUUGUUAGCAGAAUAGCAAGAAAACCAUGUGUGCUGGUAGUGUUAUUGCUAAGAAAACCGACGUUCUUUUU
rnacentral:lncRNA from 1 species